AAAAAUAAAUAUUACAAUUUUUUUGGCUUCUGUCUUUUAAUAUUAUUUUUAUGCCGAAGGGUCAUUAAGUGUUAACCAUGUCCAUCCUCUAGACCCUUAUGUCACUAAAAAUUGGUUUCAGUUCUCUAAUUUAAGUUUACUGUACCAAAUGGUAUACAAACUUGUACACAAUGCUUAUAACCAUAAAACACAGAUCAAGUAAGAAAUUAUGUAGUGUCACUUUUACUGCUCUCUAGUUAUCCCCC
rnacentral:lncRNA from 1 species